rnacentral:rRNA from 1 species
UACGUAGGGGGCGAGCGUUGUCCGGAUUUACUGGGCGUAAAGCGCGUGUAGGCGGCCGUUUAAGUCGGGUGUGAAAGCCCGGGGCUCAACCCCGGGAUGCCGCCCGAGACUGGACGGCUUGAGGUCGGAAGAGGGGAGUGGAAUUCCAGGUGUAGCGGUGAAAUGCGUAGAGAUGUGGAGGAACACCGAUGGCGAAGGCAGCCUCCUGGGCCAAUACUGGCGCUCAUGCACGAAAGCGUGGGGAGCAAACAGG